GACCACACUGGUAUUGUUCAUAUUUAAGCACAAUGACACAUAAGUCAAACUUGCUUAUGUUUUGUUCCUCACGUUACUGAUGAUGUUCAAACAGGCAUGUGUGUGUGUGUGUUUUGAGAAAUACAAUAUCUUUAUACUGCAAGGUUAUAUUUAUAUUUAUUUUUAUUUGUUAUUUAUAUAUCAUUUUAAUGCCAUUACCUGAUAUCCCUGUUUUCAUACAUACAGAAGUUUAGUUUGCUAAACAUAUCACAUUUUUUAGUUGGAUAUUGGAUGUGAAAAGAAGGAAAUGGUUCUUCCAUAAAACUGCACUGUGAAUUUCCCUUUAUAUAGUUUUAUUUUAUAGUGAUUGAUUAUCUGUUCAAAACAUGUUCUACGCAAAAUGUUCUGUUCAAGAAAAGAUAGAACAUAAAUAUUUGUGUGAGCUGUAAAGUGGUAAGAAAAAGCGUAAAAACGGAAUCGGCUAUAAUCGGUAUCGGCAGUUCAAACUCAAUGAAAAAUUGGAGUCGGCCUAGAAAGUUGCAAUCGGUGCAUCUCUAGAUAGAAGCAUGAUCCAAAAAUCUCAAAUUCAAA